rnacentral:rRNA from 1 species
UGGGGAAUUUUGGACAAUGGGGGAAACCCUGAUCCAGCCAUCCCGCGUGUGCGAUGAAGGCCUUCGGGUUGUAAAGCACUCUUGGCAGGAAAGAAACGUCAUGGGUUAAUACCCCGUGAAACUGACGGUACCUGCAGAAUAAGCACCGGCUAACUACGUGCCAGCAGCCGCGGUAAUACGUAGGGUGCAAGCGUUAAUCGGAAUUACUGGGCGUAAAGCGUGCGCAGGCGGUUCGGAAAGAAAGAUGUGAAAUCCCAGAGCUCAACUUUGGAACUGCAUUUUUAACUACCGGGCUAGAGUGUGUCAGAGGGAGGUGGAAUUCCGCGUGUAGCAGUGAAAUGCGUAGAUAUGCGGAGGAACACCGAUGGCGAAGGCAGCCUCCUGGGAUAACACUGACGCUCAUGCACGAAAGCGUGGGGAGCAAACAGG